rnacentral:sRNA from 1 species
AAAAAUGACACACACAUACCGCAACACUGCGCCGGGGUGCCUGAGAAAUCGGGUCGGUCAGGUGGGUAUGUGGAGGCCUAAC